GGAGGGGAACAUGCGGCCGCGCGGCCCCGCGCAAGCGGGGAGCGAGGAAAGUCCGAACACCAAAGGGCAGGAUGCCGGGUAACGCCCGGGCGCCGCGAGGCGACGGAAAGUGCAACAGAAAAUAUACCGCCCUGAGAAGGGUAAGGGUGAAAUGGCGGGGUAAGAGCCCACCGCGCCUUCCGCAAGGAAGGCGGCAGUGCAAACCCCAUUCGGUGCAAGACCAAGUAAGCAACCGCUCGAGGGCUGCCCGCCCCAGGUUGCGGGUAGGUCGCAAAGAGACGCGCGGCAACGCGCGUCCAAGAUGGAUGGCCGCAAAAACAGGAUUCGGCUUACGGUCCCCUCCCGGG
rnacentral:RNase_P_RNA from 1 species